rnacentral:misc_RNA from 1 species
GGAAGGAUCAUUAUUGAAUAAUAACUUGGUCAGGUUUUUGUUGCUGGCUUAACCUUUGUGGUUGAGUAAUGUGCACGGCCCUUGACCUUGCUUAUCAUUUCUCCACCUGUGCAUCAUCUGUAUAAGCCUUUGAAAUGAAGUGGAACCUGCUGUGUGGGAUAAGCAUAGCUUUUUCCUAGGGGGGUCUAUCUUUCAAAAGGUCUUAUACGUUUUUCAUAUUAACCACAAUGUGUUGAAUGUGAAUGAAUACUUUGAUAUAUAUAUACAUACAACUUUCAGCAACGGAUCUCUUGGCUCUCGCAUCGAUGAAGAACGCAGCGAAAUGCGAUAAGUAAUGUGAAUUGCAGAAUUCAGUGAAUCAUCGAAUCUUUGAACGCACCUUGCGCUCCUUGGUAUUCCGAGGAGCAUGCCUGUUUGAGUGUCAUUAAAUUCUCAACCCUUAACCAAUUUUGUAUUGGUUUUAAGUGGCUUGGAUGUUGGGGGUUCCAUUAUUGUUGGCCUUUGUGCCAGCUCCCCUAAAAUGCAUUAGCAGAGCGGUUUGCGAUCUGUCACUGGUGGUGAUAGUUUAUCUACACCAAAAAAGAUAGAAUGCUUACUUGACUCUCUGCUUCUAACUGUCCCCUCUUUGGGACAAACUCUUUUAUUUGACCAUCUUGACCUCAAAUCAGGUAGGACUACCCGCUGAACUUAAGCAUAUCAAUAAGCGGAGGAAAAGAAACUAACAAGGAUUCCCCUAGUAACUGCGAGUGAAGCGGGAAAAGCUCAAAUUUGAAAUCUGGCAGUCUAUGGCUGUCCGAGUUGUAAUCUAGAGAAGUGUUACCCGCGCUGGACCGUGUACAAGUCUCCUGGAAUGGAGCGUCAUAGAGGGUGAGAAUCCCGUCUCUGACACGGACUACCAGGGCUUUGUGGUAUGCUCUCAAAGAGUCGAGUUGUUUGGGAAUGCAGCUCAAAAUGGGUGGUAAAUUCCAUCUAAAGCUAAAUAUUGGCGAGAGACCGAUAGCGAACAAGUACCGUGAGGGAAAGAUGAAAAGAACUUUGGAAAGAGAGUUAAACAGUACGUGAAAUUGCUGAAAGGGAAACGCUUGAAGUCAGUCACGUUGGCCAGGGAUCAGCCUUGUUCUUUUACUUGGUGCACUUUCUGGUUUGACGGGUCAGCAUCAAUUUUGAUCACUGGAAAAAGGCUCAGGAAAUGUGGCAGCUCCGGCUGUGUUAUAGUCUUGGGUCACAUACAGUGAUUGGGAUUGAGGAACUCAGCACGCCGCAAGGCCGGGUUUCGACCACGUUCGUGCUUAGGAUGCUGGCAUAAUGGCUUUAAGCGACCCGUCUUGAAACACGGACCAAGGAGUCUAACAUGCUUGCGAGUGUUUGGGUGGUAAACCCGAGCGCGUAAUGAAAGUGAAAGUUGAGAUCCCUGUCGUGGGGAGCAUCGACGCCCGGACCAGAACUUUUGGGACGGAUCCGCGGUGGAGCAUGUAUGUUGGGACCCGAAAGAUGGUGAACUAUGCCUGAAUAGGGUGAAGCCAGAGGAAACUCUGGUGGAGGCUCGUAGCGAUUCUGACGUGCAAAUCGAUCGUCAAAUUUGGGUAUAGGGGCGAAAGACUAAUCGAACCAUCUAGUAGCUGGUUCCUGC